rnacentral:rRNA from 1 species
AGAGUUUGAUUAUGGCUCAGGACGAACGCUGGCGGCGUGCCUAACACAUGCAAGUCGAACGGAACUGUUUUGAAAGAUUUCUUCGGAAUGAAUUUGAUUUAGUUUAGUGGCGGACGGGUGAGUAACGCGUGAGUAACCUGCCUUCAAGAGGGGGAUAACAUUCUGAAAAGAAUGCUAAUACCGCAUGACAUAUCGGAACCACAUGGUUUUGAUAUCAAAGAUUUUAUCGCUUGAAGAUGGACUCGCGUCCGAUUAGUUAGUUGGUGAGGUAACGGCUCACCAAGACCGCGAUCGGUAGCCGGACUGAGAGGUUGAACGGCCACAUUGGGACUGAGACACGGCCCAG